rnacentral:snoRNA from 1 species
UUGUAAUGGUGGGGUUUUGGGGGGUUUGAGAAACUCAGAUAUGACACCAUUGUGUUAUUGUCAUCUUCCUCUCUUAGUUCAAUGAGAUGGGAGUUAAAUCGUAACACAAAAUGU